rnacentral:ncRNA from 1 species
AUUUGAUUGUUGAAAAGGAAUAGUAAAUUACUGAUAUCUUUAAGAGACUAUGUGGUUGUGUGAACAUAGAUUUGUUAGUUUUUGAACUCGCCUUUAAAAAUUUUUGCUGAAGUUAGUAGGCAAAAACGUGAUUUCGCGUUACGAAAGAUAAGCGCUACAGUGAUGUAGAAAAUGGGUGGUACCGCGGAGUUUAUUCGUCCUAUAG